AAUGAAAACCCAAAUUAAAAGGAACAUAUGAGGACCAGAAAAUGCCACCAUGGCUAAAGAGAGUAAAAGAGCCAGUUAGAGACAAGACGACGUCCUUUAAAAAUUUAAGUCAAAUCCUACUGAGGAAAAUAGAAAGAAACAUGAACUCUGGCAAGUCAAGUGUAAAGGUACAAUUAGGCAGGCCCAAAAAAACAAAA